rnacentral:rRNA from 1 species
UGGGGAAUUUUGGACAAUGGGCGCAAGCCUGAUCCAGCCAUGCCGCGUGCAGGAUGAAGGCCUUCGGGUUGUAAACUGCUUUUGUACGGAACGAAAAGGCUCUUUCUAAUAAAGGGAGUUGAUGACGGUACCGUAAGAAUAAGCACCGGCUAACUACGUG